GGGGAGGAGGAAGCUUUCUUAACAGCCCCACGCUGACCUGGGGCAACCUCUUUGCUUCCCUCUUGCUCAGCAUUUAGCUACCAUGUUUACAUUUCUUGUGAUGUUGUCUACCGUCCUGGAACGGCAGAAGGCUGAGGGAAUGACUUAUCCUCGUCUGUCAAGCAGGGAUGACAGUCCCGUCUUACGGGGUUUCUGGGGAUGAUUAAGUUAGCGAUAGCUCACACUGUUCUAAGUGCUUCACUGAAGUUAACGCGGUUAAGUUACACGUGUGGUAGAGACUAUAACCCCAUUCGACAGAUGAGCAAACUGAGGCUGGGGUGAACUCGUCCUCCAUCACACAGCCAGUCAGCAGCAGCUGAACCAGGAUCUGAAUCCUGGCAGCCGGCUCUUACCUGCCAACGACAGAAGCUGCUGCUUUGUGAGCAUGUGUAAGGCAUCAGCCGCUGCUGCCUGCAUGUUACUUACCUACUAUUACCUGAUGUCCCCACCACGGAGCCCAGCUGCGGAGGCCCUCGGGGAGCAAGGAAACUUCUACGGAAUACUGGAUCCUUACCCAGUGGGCAGAAAAGCCUGGAGGGUGGGUCGAUGCCAGUUGGAAAGUGCAACCCCCAACAUCGUGGGAAUGUCAGCGUCGCAACGAGUGGCCCCUCAGGUCCAAGAGGGCUGAGCUCUUCCCCCAGAAUCUGAGAAGAUACCAA